ACCUCAAUAGCUCACUGGUAAAGCAGUCAAUUGUUAACUGACUGAUUUUAGUUUCGAAUCCUACUUGCGGAG
rnacentral:tRNA from 1 species